UCGAGUAGUUCCCAUAUCUAAAUCCCUAACUUUCCUCACGAAUCACUUCUCUUACUCUAUGAAUCUCAUCGAUCAUAUAGCAAAAAUUAGAUUUCUAGGAAAAAACCAAUUUCCCUUAAAUUUCUUCUUAUGCUUAUAUGGUUACUUUAAACGUGUUCAACUAAGCAUGGUAUCUCCGUUGUUCAUUAUUCUGUGAUUUUUCCCUUUUAUGUGGAUGGGCAUUUGAUGAAUCUUGUGUAUCAAUUGAGGUCUUGCGUCGUUGGUUCCGUUUUCCCGAGCAGUGAGCCGGGUCUUGCGUCUGCAGGAUCGUGUUUUUUGUGAAGCCCAGGAGACCUCUGUUGAUGGAUGAGUUAGAAGAACAGAGAUGGAGGGAUUUAAUUCUCAAGUUCAGACUUUUUAUCGCCAUGAUGCUGUUUGCAAUCAGCUUGUGCAAGUUACUUCAAACUGUGUAAGGCUUGUGAGUUCAAUGUUGCCACUGCCAAUUUAUCCGGGAAAACAGUUUACACGGAGGAAAAUUUUAACGAUGCUUCAUCAAAAAGGAAAACUGUUUUCUCCUUCCUUUCCCCGUGAAGGAGCAAUGAAG